rnacentral:lncRNA from 1 species
UAAAUUUUGGGGUAUUACAGCUGCCCCUAUUCAAUCAACUAGAGACCUAGAAAGAAGAUAGCAGCGGCCUUCGUGCUUUCGAGGUAUCAAGGGAUUGAAUACAAUAAAAGCCCGAAAAUUUGCACUGAAGUGAAGUGAAGUAACAAUGUCUGUCAGAAUCGGCAAAGAGGUGGUCUUGAAAGAAGAAUUCGUCUGGUACGGUGAGAGUCAGUCUGAAUACCGAAAAAGAAUGUU